AUAAAAAGAAAAAACAAAAAAACAAAAAAUGAAACGAGAAAGAGGCUGGGAACAAAAGAAGGCAGUUGCGCAUGGAUAACAAAAGAAGGGGAUGAUAACGAAGAAGGGCUGAAAAGCAUAAAGCUGCGCAGACAAAAAACGACCCCACCCCCUUUUGGAUCGUCAUCUUCACGAGACUACCCCUGGCCUCGUUUUUAUUGUCCUUCAGAAAACCAGAAAAGGAGAACGAUACAAGUACCCUCCCCGCAUCUUCUUCUUCAUCGAACGACCCCCCCCUCCACGUAGCUUUCAUCAUCUUCUUCGCUGGAACGAUAGGAGAAAACCCUAGGAGCCUGAAGAAGAAGCAGCGACGCCACCCAGCUUCGCCGGAAAUCCGGUGACCUCACUCACCUCACCCCUCUCCUUCCGUUACUGCCUCACCGGCAAAUGACAACACAAACCAGCGACCAAACAACUUAAACCAGCCGCUAUUCGUUGAAAACCAGAGGCACGACGUCACCGGCGACCACCAUUGAAGUCGGCGAACACAUGCACACACACAGUCACGCAUAUGAACGGAGUAAGGGAGCGAGCGUAAGGCAGCUGAAGUUUCGGAAUCGUUUGUGAGUUCGAGUCGUGUAGAAAGUUGCCGCGUUCCGUUCGUACAUCGAGGUGAGGCGGGUUUCGGGUCCGGCGAGGUCGUAAAUUUUUCGAGGUUAACGUUCGUAGCUCUGGUGCUGGUUCUGUUUACUUUUGAGUUGGAGCAUGACGGAGCCCUAGGACAUCUAGUCAGGAUCACUGCAUUCAGGAGCUGCUCGAGGAGCCAUUUCAUGUUUUUGAGUCAAUCGUUUUUGUUUUAUUUUUUUAGUCCUGUAUAGUAGUAUUUAGUCUUUUAGGUGAUGUUAGAAUUUGUAUUGUCUAGUUAAGUUUGUAUAGUCUAUUGUUACUGUAUUUGUUAUUUUGCAUUUGGAAAUGUGUUACAAGUAAAAAUCCAAAAAAAAGAGAUGUUGCAUUUUA